UGAGGAAUCUUCCACAAUGGGCGAAAGCCUGAUGGAGCGACACCGCGUGAAGGAUGAAGGCCAUUUGGUUGUAAACUUCUUUUCUGUGGGACGAUAAUGACGGUACUACAGGAAUAAGGGACGGCAAACUACGUGCCAGCAGCCGCGGUAAUACGUAGGUCCCGAGCGUUAUCCGGAAUAACUGGGCGUAAAGAGUUCGUAGGCGGAUGCGUAAGUCUCGUGUGAAAUCCGGAAGCUCAACUUCCGGAUCGUGCGGGAAACUGCGCGUCUCGAAUCGGGGAGAGGGAAGCGGAACGGUAGGAGUAGGGGUGCAAUCCGUUGAUACCUACCAGAACACCAAAAGCGAAGGCAGCUUCCUGGAACCGCAUUGACGCUGAGGAACGAAAGCGUGGGGAGCGAAAAGG
rnacentral:rRNA from 1 species